AACAUCAUUUUAAUCGCUCCACGGUUAUCUCUGGGUUGGACUUUAGUCUAUUCUCAGAGACCGGGAUACGUGUAUUCCACUGUUUCCUGGCUUUUAUAACUUGUGUUGAAGCGUAGAUUUAAUACCAAGUACGUUGCUGGGCGCCUAAUAUUGAGUCAAUUUAUUGUCUUCGAUGAUAUAUUGGGAAUCAGCUGUAUCUACAUUC
rnacentral:snoRNA from 1 species